AACAUUAGCCUGUCAGGUUGUGUCCAGCACAUGAAGGAGUUAAGAGGAAGGACCAGUUUAAUUGAUUAUUGUUUGAAUAUGUCUACCCUACUUGAACUGAGAGAGAAGAGAAGAGAAUAUUUAAUGGGAGGCAGCAAAACAGAGCAACAAGAAAGGUUAUUCCAAUUAAAGAACACAGUAGAUGCUGUACAGUGUGUCAUUAGUCUACCUUUGUCCGUAUUCCUUCCUCUCUCUCCCUCUCUCCUCUCAACCAUCACCUCACUAGUACAACACAUUGUCACCUCCUCUACACUACUACUGAACUGCUACAACAAUACACUGGCCUCUAUUGCCAGCAAACAAAAAGGUAAUUGUACU